CCCAACAGAACUCAUCUGUAUGCAGGCAGAGUCACAUAUGGCUCACCAGUUUGCCACCUUUGUCUAAAAUAAUUCACAGAAAUUCCUUGACAGAUAAGUCAGUGGUUUUGGAGGAUGAACUAAGACUCUAGGGGUUGCUGGUGUGUAUACUAACGUGCACAUGGGUGUUUGUGUAGGGAACCUGGCUUGAUUUUCACUCGGGCCUGGUGUGUGCUCUCUGAGAAGCUUUUGGAACAAGGAAGGACAGACUCCAGCCAUCUCGGCGUUGACUUCUCCCUGUGAACUUGUGAUGUAGGUUUUAUUUUGACGACUUUAGUGAUGAGGAAAUGGAGACCAAGAGAUUUUAAGUUGGCUACAGCAGGAGAAUGUAAGAAGCCAAAACAAAAUAUUUAUGAAUUAUGCUUUGAGAUCUUGGGGAGAAAUGCCAUUCAAUGAACUCAAGGCUUGAAAAAUGUUCCUGGCUUACAUUUUUUUAAACUGCAACAAAAUUCUAACCGGUAUCCCAGUGUUCCUUGCUACGAUCUUUAGUGGCCAUGCCUUAUGUUGAUGGCAGAUGUCCAGUAAGUGGAGAAAUUCUGAGAUCAUCUUGCACACUGAGAAGAAAACUUACGGUUUGAC